rnacentral:lncRNA from 1 species
UGGGCCCCGAGGCAAGGCCCCCUCUUCUGUUGCCAAGGUGGCAGAGGAAGGUGCCUACCUGCCCCUCCCAGGCGCGGUGCAGCGCCACGGCACCCAUGGAACGCGGCUGCAUUCCUGUGGCAGGGGUGUGGCUGCCCGCGGCCGUGUGCCCCAGGCCUGUGCCUGCUGCUGAGCCGCCCAGCGCCCGCGCUGAGUCAGCAGGCCGGCAGCCCUGUCCCUCCCAGCAAAGCCCCAUCACCAGGAGGGUGGUGGCGGCCGCGCAAAGGAGGAAACUCGACUUCCCUUGGAGGAGGGGGGCGCCUUGGGUUCUAAGCUGGGGACCCAGGCGGGGAGCAGCAGGAGGCAGGACCUUCAGAGCCAGAGGGGGGACUUCAGACUGGACAGGAGGCAACUGUGCUUUCCUCAGCGUCUUCUGUGUGCCAGGCGCCGUGCUGGCGGCCGAUGCUGCUCACAGGUCUGCUGUGAUGAAGAAAUAAGAUGAUGUAGGAAAAGCAUCUGGCAGGUGAGAACACCCACAGCCAC